AGGAGUGGAGCGUUUGCCCUCUUGAGUCUGGCCACGGACUGGUGCCGUUGCAUGGGAAGAGUCGGAUGUUUCCCGGGUGUGUGUUUGUGUGUCUGAGCGUGGGCCCUGUGCGUGCGUGGCUGGCAGCGUGUUCACCUGUGAAUCUGCCCCUUUCCUGUUGCUUAUUGGUGUGGCGCCCUCACACUUCACCUAUCCCCAGCACCUCCCCCCCAACACACCUGGAUUUCCCAGCAGGGCAUAACCCCAAG
rnacentral:lncRNA from 1 species